rnacentral:rRNA from 1 species
CCUACGGGUGGCAGCAGUGAGGAAUCUUGGUCACUGGGCGAGAGCCUGAACCAGCCAAGUCGCGUGAAGGAUGACUGCCCUACGGGUUGUACACUUCUUUUGUCAGGGAGCAAUUGAGUCCACGUUUGGUCUUAGCGAGAGUACCUGAAGAAAAAGCAUCGGCUAACUCCGUGCCAGCAGCCGCGGUAAUACGGAGGAUGCGAGCGUUAUCCGGAUUUAUUGGGUUUAAGGGGUGCGUAGGCGGAAUAUCAAGUCAUCUGUAAAAAUUCGGGGCUCAACCCCGUCGUGCCGUUGAAACUGAUGUUCUUGAGUGGGCGAGAAGUAUGCGGAAUGCGUGGUGUAGCGGUGAAAUGCAUAGAUAUCACGCAGAACUCCGAUUGCGAAGGCAGCAUACCGGCGCCCAACUGACGCUGAAGCACGAAAGCGUGGGUAUCGAACAGGAUUAGAUACCCGGGUAGUC